AGAACGAACGCUGGCGGCAGGCCUCAAACAUGCAAGUCUAGGGGGUGUAGCAAUACAUCACCGGCGGACGGGUGCGUAACACGUGGGAAUAUACCUUUUGGUUCGGAACAACGCAGGGAAACUUGCGCUAAUACCGAAUGUGCCCUUACGGGGAAAGAUUUAUCGCCAAAGGAUUAGCCCGCGUAGGAUUAGCUAGUUGGUGAGGUAAUGGCUCACCAAGGCUCCGAUCCUUAGCUGUUCUGAGAGGAAGAUCAGCCACACUGGGACUGAGACACGGCCCAGACUCCUACGGGAGGCAGCAGUUGGGAAUCUUGGACAUGGGGAACCCUGAUCCAGCCAUGCCGCGUGAGUGAUGAAGGCCUUCGGGUUGUAAACUCUUUCGACGGGGACGAUAAUGACGGUACCCGUAGAAGAAGCUCCGGCUAACUUCGUGCCAGCAGCCGC
rnacentral:rRNA from 1 species